rnacentral:rRNA from 1 species
AACCAGGAUUUCCCUAGUAACGGCGAGCGAACCGGAAACAGCCCAGCUUGAAAAUCGGGGCGCCCCGCGCCCCGAAUUGUGCCCUGGAGAAGGUCCCUCUGCGGCGCACCGCACCCAAGUCUCCCUGGAAAGGGGCGUCCGAGAGGGUGAGAGCCCCGUCGAGUGCGGACCGCGCCGCCCCACGAGGACCUGUCUCCGAGUCGGACUGUUUGGGAAUGCAGUCCUAAGCGGGUGGUAAAUUCCAUCCAAGGCUAAAUACUGGCAGGAGACCGAUAGCGAACAAGUACCGCGAGGGAAAGAUGAAAAGGACUUUGAAAAGAGAGUUAAAAAGUGCUUGAAAUUGCUGGGAGGGAAGCGAAUGGAAGCUGCGGGUGCGCCCCGGUUGGAUGUGGAACGGUCCCCCAGGGGGCCGGUCCGCCGCUCAACGCGGGGCGCUGGUCAGCGUGGGCCGCCGCGGCGGGACAAAACACGUGGGGACCCGCGUACGGUCCCCCGCCUCCGUACAUGCCGUCGUGGCGGCCGAGGAUCCAAGUGCGCGGGCCCCCUUCCGGGGGGGCCCGUGGGGGGAUUCCCUUCCCCCCAACUGCGCGCUCGGGACGCUGGCGCAUCGAGCUCUCCAUCCGACCCGUCUUGAAACACGGACCAAGGAGUCUAACAUGUAUGCGAGCCCGUGGGCGGCAAACCCACUUGGAGGCGCAAGGAAACUGACAGGUGGGACCCCGGCCCCGCCCGGGAGCACCAUCGACCGACCCUGAUCUGCUGAGAAAGGUUCGAGUGCGAGCACGCAUGUUGGGACCCGAAAGAUGGUGAACUAUGCCUGAGCAGGGCGAAGCCAGAGGAAACUCUGGUGGAGGCUCGCAGCGAUACUGACGUGCAAAUCGUUCGUCAGACUUGGGUAUAGGGGCGAAAGACUAAUCGAACCAUCUAGUAGCUGGUUCCCUCCGAAGUUUCCCUCAGGAUAGCUGGAGCUCGCGGCCGCGAGUUUUAUCAGGUAAAGCGAAUGAUUAGAGGCAUCGGGGGUGCAACACCCUCGACCUAUUCUCAAACUUUAAAUGGGUAAGCCGCCGGGGGUUGCUCCGCUGAACCCCGGCACCCAAUC